rnacentral:rRNA from 1 species
CGCUAUCACUCCUACGGGGAGGCAGCAGUAGGGAAUCUUCCACAAUGGGCGCAAGCCUGAUGGAGCAACACCGCGUGAGUGAAGAAGGGUUUCGGCUCGCAAAGCUCUGUUGUUUAAAGAAGAACACGUAUGAGAGUAACUGUUCAUACGUUGACGGUAUUUAACCAGAAAGUCACGGCUAACUACGUGCCAGCAGCCGCGGUAAUACGUAGGUGGCAAGCGUUAUCCGGAUUUAUUGGGCGUAAAGAGAGUGCAGGCGGUUUUCUAAGUCUGAUGUGGAAGCCUUCGGCUUAACCGGAGAAGUGCAUCGGAAACUGGAUAACCUGAGUGCAGAAGAGGGUAGUGGAACUCCAUGUGUAGCGGUGGAAUGCGUAGAUAUAUGGAAGAACACCAGUGGCGAAGGCGGCUACCUGGUCUGCAACUGACGCUGAGACUCGAAAGCAUGGGUAGCGAACAGGAUUAGAUACCCUGGUAG